rnacentral:lncRNA from 1 species
UUGCAGCACUUGUGCCAUAAGCUGAUAUACUCUGGCUAGGCCUGCCUGACCUGCUGCAGACCGUGGAGUAUCCGGGAGAACUGACUGCUCGCUGGGCUCCGGGGAGGGUGGUCUCCUGUCGUCGUCCAUGUCAUUCAAAUGAUCGCCUAGCAGUCAAAAUUUUUAAAGUGAGAUUAUGAUAAACUAGCAUAUUAUAAUAUUUUCUAUGACGGUGACAUUCUUAACUACCCCUUUCCUCAGGCAUUUUAUGGUUAUUCUAUUGUUUAACCAAAGGCUCUGAUACCACAAGAUGUCACGCCCCGGACCCGGAUCCGUGACACGGCCGUGCUAUUGCCGACUAUCGCCCACAGUAGCACGCAGCCUCAUACAGGGGUAACAGGUAGCCAAAA